GGGCUAGUAGCUCAGUUGGUUAGAGCGCACGCUUGAUAAGCGUGAGGUCGGAGGUUCGAGUCCUCCCUGGCCCACCA
rnacentral:tRNA from 1 species